GGGCGUGUAGCUCAGCGGGAGAGCGCUUAACUCGCAUUUCAAGAGGACGCAGGUUCAAUCUCCUGCCGUGCGCCACCA
rnacentral:tRNA from 1 species